rnacentral:rRNA from 1 species
UACGUAGGUGGCAAGCGUUGUCCGGAUUUACUGGGCGUAAAGAGUGCGCAGGCGGUCGUUCAAGUCGGGUGUGAAAGCCCCCGGCUCAACUGGGGAGGGUCACGCGAUACUGAUCGACUCGAAGGCAGGAGAGGGAAGUGGAAUUCCCGGUGUAGUGGUGAAAUGCGUAGAUAUCGGGAGGAACACCAGUGGCGAAGGCGACUUCCUGGCCUGUUCUUGACGCUGAGGCGCGAAAGCUAGGGGAGCAAACGGG